rnacentral:rRNA from 1 species
CCCUUAGAUGUCCUGGGCUGCACGCGCGCUACACUGGAAGUUACGGAUUGAGAUACUACCUUGUCCGAAAUGGUCCGGGUAAUCACCUAAAAGCUUGUCGUAAUUGGAAUGGAUUAUUGUAACUAGUAAUCCUGAACGAGGAAUUCCUAGUAAGUCCCAGUCAACAGCUGGUACUGAUUACGUCCCUGCCCUUUGUACACACCGCCCGUCGCUACUACUGAUUGGACGUUUAAGCAAGAUUUUUAAACACUGACAGUGUGUAGUUCACGCUAUACUACAGUGAGAAGAAGAAGAUCGAGCUUACUUGUCUAGAGGAAGUAAAAGUCGUAACA